GACAUGACCCAAUCACCUUCCCUUUAAGCCCAUCCCUUUAAGUUCAUUGUCAUGUGUGUUUCCGGGUUGGCUGCUGCUCACUGUUGGUUGUCGCGUCCGUUGUUGAUAAAACAACUUGAAGUUAUAAAUCGACUCAUCACUCAUUUAAUCUAAACUCAACUUUGAAGAUUUCUGCUGGAACACCUUCCUGAAUUGAACAAGUUACCAUUGCAUCCACCUCCUCAGACAAUCCGUUACUCGACGGUCAGGUUUUUUUUUUCUUCCGGACUCCUGCACGGAUACAUUGGAUGACGGAAGAUGGCGAGCUACCCACCCACCAUCUGGUGGUAGGAAACAGAACUACACUUUCCAUAUAGGAACUGAACAGACUCUAAGGAGUAUCAAAAAAAAAAAGGGAAAAUAACUAUUCUCCCUUCAUUUUUGGACCUCUUGUGGACUCUAUUAGGUUUUGAAGUGUCACUGACAAGUGUUUUGUUUGUUUUCUAUUUCCCUGUUUUUUGAGAACUUUAUUUAUUUUUGUUGUUUUGGUAUUAUCAUUAUCAUUAUUAUUAUUAUUAUUAUUAUUAUUAUUAUUAUUAUUAUUACUAUUAUUAUUAUUGCCACUGCAAUAAAUAGCAGUAUUAACAAACCUUUUUUUGGCAUCAAUUGUAUUAAUUAUUCACCCAAUCAUGACUCCAUGUCGUACCUACUUCUGAUCUACAAACUGGUUAACACUAUACCUUGCAGUCAGAUCUGCGCAUCAAAAGAAAGCGUUACACAUUGCUAGUCCUUUCUUUUUCCCAAGGACAUUCUGUUCCCACUGGAUCGAUGUUUUCAAUCUGGUGAUUACCAUUUCAUCACUAGAGGCAUUAUAAUCAAUAACUGUGAUUACUGCUUUAAGGCAUUUACAUGUAUACAAGAUCGAGGAUUUUAAAACACAACAUCCGAUUCCUUCUGUUUGGUUUCAUAAAACCCUUUGAUAGUCUUGUUAUCUGUUUACAUGUGGUAAACCCAUUAUGAGUCUUUGUUACAGACUCAAAUUUAUUGUUAGAUUGAGUUUAAGAUAUUUCAACAUGACUAUUAUUAUUGAUUACCAUAGAUAUUAGUCUGUAUUGCCACUGACUUCAUUAAGUUGUCAAAACAUAUUCCAUGUCUUCGAUUCUUGUUGUGGUUUUAGAAGUGAUAUGAAAAUAAA